rnacentral:rRNA from 1 species
UACAGAGGGGGCAAGCGUUGUUCGGAAUUACUGGGCGUAAAGCGCACGUAGGCGGCUUUGCAAGUCAGAGGUGAAAGCCCGGGGCUCAACCCCGGAAUUGCCUUUGAGACUGCAUCGCUAGAAUUGUGGAGAGGUAAGUGGAAUUCCGAGUGUAGAGGUGAAAUUCGUAGAUAUUCGGAAGAACACCAGUGGCGAAGGCGACUUACUGGACACAUAUUGACGCUGAGGUGCGAAAGCGUGGGGAGCAAACAGG